rnacentral:rRNA from 1 species
GACGAACGCUGGCGGCGUGCCUAAUACAUGCAAGUAGAACGCUGAAGCUUGGUGCUUGCCCCGAGCGGAUGAGUUGCGAACGGGUGAGUAACGCGUAGGUAACCUGCCUGGUAGCGGGGGAUAACUAUUGGAAACGAUAGCUAAUACCGCAUAAGAGUAGAUGUUGCAUGACAUUUGCUUAAAAGGUGCAAUUGCAUCACCACCAGAUGGACCUGCGUUGUAUUAGCUAGUUGGUGAGGUAACGGCUCACCAAGGCAACGAUACAUAGCCGCCCUGAGAGGGUGAUCGGCCGCACUGGGACUGCGGCACGGCCCAGACUCCUUCGGGAGGCAGCAGUAGGGAAUCUUCGGCCAUAGACCGAAGUCUGACCGAGCACCGCCGCGUCAGUGCAGAAGGUUUUCGGAUCGUAAAGCUCUGUUGUAAGAGAAGAACGGGUGUGAGGGUGGAAAGUUCACACUGUGACGGUAUCUAACCAGAAAGCGACGGCUAACUACGUG